AUUGAACGCUGGCGGCAUGCUUUACACAUGCAAGUCGAACGGUAACAGGCCGCAAGGUGCUGACGAGUGGCGAACGGGUGAGUAAUGCAUCGGAACGUGCCCAGUCGUGGGGGAUAACGCAGCGAAAGCUGUGCUAAUACCGCAUACGAUCUAUGGAUGAAAGCGGGGGACCGUAAGGCCUCGCGCGAUUGGAGCGGCCGAUGUCAGAUUAGGUAGUUGGUGGGGUAAAGGCCUUCCAAGCCGACGAUCUGUAGCUGGUCUGAGAGGACGACCAGCCACACUGGGACGGAGACACGGCCCAAACUCCUACGGGAGGCAGCAGUGGGGAAUUUUGGACAAUGGGCGCAAGCCUGAUCCAGCAAUGCCGCGUGCAGGAAGAAGGCCUUCGGGUUGUAAACUGCUUUUGUACGGAACGAAACGGUCUGGGUUAAUACCCUGGGCUAAUGACGGUACCGUAAGAAUAAGCACCGGCUAACUACGUGCCUGCAGCCGCGGUAAUAC
rnacentral:rRNA from 1 species